rnacentral:lncRNA from 1 species
AAAGGUUAAAAGUUAAAAAUUAAAAUCUAAAAUUUAAAAUAUAAAAGUUAUAAAUUAUUAUAAAAAUAAAAUUAAAAAUAGGAUUAAGAAAGAUAAAAGCAAAGGUAUCUUGAUAAUGUCUAAGAAUUAAAAGUAGUAAAUCCUUUCUACUCCAAAAUUUUCUAAAAAUCAUGAUUAACUUCAAAUUGUAUGAUUUUUAGUUUGUUGCAAAUUUAACUUAAAGGCGUUCUUGCUUCAAUAAAUUUGAAUUUAAUCCAAUACCUAAGCCACUAAAAAUGCUCCUUCAAAGUUGAGUGACCAAGACUACUGUGGCAGGAAACCUUCUUUCACUUAAAAAUUAACCAAAACUUCAACUCAUCUUCAAAUUUAGUAAAAUUUAUGCUAUAAGAAGCUCAGCUUAAAGAUGCACUUGUUCUUAAAAUUUUACAAUAAUCCAAUUAGGAAGCACUGAGGAAUGUAU